rnacentral:rRNA from 1 species
GACGUAGGGGCGCGAGCGUUGUCCGGAUUUAUUGGGCGUAAAGAGCUCGUAGGCGGCUUGUCGCGUCGACUGUGAAAUCCCCGCGGCUCAACCGCGGGUCUGCAGUCGAUACGGGCAGGGCUAGAGUUCGGUAGGGGAGACUGGAAUUCCUGGUGUAGCGGUGAAAAUGCGCCAGAUAUCAGGAGGAACACCGAUGGCGAAGGCAGGUCUCUGGGCCGAUAACUGACGCUGGAGGAGCGAAAGCGUGGGGAGCGAACAGG